AUUUUUGGAUAUUUUUGAUUAUUCAGUCUAAGAAUCUAAAUAGGAGGAUUGACACAAAUGACACUAAAAAAGUUUUUUAUUCUAAAAAUGGCAUUUACGUUUGAAACUUCCAAAAAUAGCACCAAAAACUUUUGAAAAUUAAUUAAUGCAAAUAAAAAUUAAAAAAACAAAAAACACAAAAUCUCAAAAUCUAAACCUAAUCGAUUCUCUCUCGCCUGUCGUCGUCGCCGGUUAACCAUCAUCUUCUCUCUCGCUGUCGCUGUCGCCGAUUAACCGUCAUCAUCUCUCUCGCCGUCAUCGUCGCCUUCUCGUGAUUCUCUAUCGCUGUCGUUGUUACACAGUAUUGCCUCGUGAUUCUCUCUCGUUGUCUCCGAAAUCACACAGACUCGUCUUGCCGAAAGAACGUUGAUGUUACGCCUUCCCACUACAAAAAAAGUCUUCAUUGUUAGCGCAAACCAUCUGCUAUCGUAUGUAAUACACAGCGAAUUCACAAAUGCUAUGUUUGCGGCAGCUAUAGUAGGUGUCACCCCUAUGACAGCAUUGUUUUGUACGCUAUGGUAUAUUUUGCUACGAUAGCAACGAUAUAACGUCAUUAUAGAGUUUUGAUAUAUCACUUU
rnacentral:sRNA from 1 species